rnacentral:rRNA from 1 species
CCUACGGGGUGCAGCAGUGGGGGAUAUUGCACAAUGGGGGAAACCCUGAUGCAGCGACGCCGCGUGGGUGAAGAAGCGCCUCGGCGCGUAAAGCCCUGUCAGCAGGGAAGAAAAUGACGGUACCUGAAGAAGAAGCCCCGGCUAACUACGUGCCAGCAGCCGCGGUAAUACGUAGGGGGCAAGCGUUAUCCGGAUUUACUGGGUGUAAAGGGGGCGCAGACGGCGAUGCAAGCCAGGAGUGAAAGCCCGGGGCCCAACCCCGGGACUGCUCUUGGAACUGCGUGGCUAGAGUGCAGGAGGGGCAGGCGGAAUACCUGGUGUAGCGGUGAAAUGCGUAGAUAUCAGGAGGAACACCGGUGGCGAAGGCGGCCUGCUGGACUGCAACUGACGUUGAGGCCCGAAAGCGUGGGGAGCAAACAGGAUUAGAUACCCCAGUAGUC